rnacentral:tRNA from 1 species
GGAAAUGUAGCUCAGUGGUAAAGUGCCCCUCAAGUUCAAUCCUUUGUACAAAAAAAAAAAAACUGUUAGUUGGGCCAGAAGUAUAGCUCAGUGGAAAAACUGCAUGUGUGGGGCCCUGGGUUCAAUCCCCAGCACCA